rnacentral:rRNA from 1 species
AUGGCGCUGCCCUCCGAGGAGGUGGUGGCCAUACUCGCGCCGAUCAUCGUGUACUGGGUCGCCGCCGGCGUGUACACGGUGCUCGGCCGUGUACUGGCUGACCACAGGCUCCACUCGAGGGAGGAGGAGGAGGUCAGGAACCUCGUCCCCAAGCGUGUCGUGGUCCGCACCGUCCUCCUCCAGCACGUUCUCCAGGCGGCCAUAGCCUUCGCCGUCUUCAAUGUAAGCGCAGGUGUACCACAUUCAUCGAUGCUAGCUACUCAGGUGGCCGUGCAACUGAACUCAAGUUAUUACUGGACGCAGGUGAAGCGAGAAGAUCGCCGGGCUGCCGACGCCGGCACCGGCGCCGCCACUCCCGCCGUGGCCGUCGUCUGCUGCCAGUUCAUGGUCGCCAUGGUGGUCCUCGACGCGUGGCAGUACGGGUGGCACCGCCUGAUGCACAGCAGCGGCCUGCUGUACCGCCAUGUCCACUCCUGGCACCACCGGCUGGUGGCGCCGUACGCCUACGGCGCCCAGUACAACCACCCGCUGGAGGGCCUGAUACUGGACACGGCCGGCGGCGCGCUGGCGCUGGCCGUGACGGGGAUGGCGCCCCUGACGGCCGCCGCCUUCUUCUCGUUCGCGACUCUCAAGGCCGUCGACGACCACUCCGGCGUGCUUGUCCCGGGCAACCCGCUGCAUCUCCUGUUCCGCAACAACACGGCCUACCACGACGUCCACCACCAGGUUCGUGGUGGCCGCUGCAACUACGCGCAGCUGUUCUUUGUGGCGUGGGACAAGCUGAUGGGCACGUACGUCCCUUACGAGGUCGUCAGAGCUCCGCACGGCGGACUGGAGGCCGUGCCGUUGAAGAAGAAGUUGAAGACCUGA